rnacentral:rRNA from 1 species
UACGGAGGGUGCAAGCGUUAUCCGGAUUCACUGGGUUUAAAGGGUGCGUAGGCGGGCAGGUAAGUCCGUGGUGAAAUCCCCGAGCUUAACUCGGGAACUGCCAUGGAUACUAUUUGUCUUGAAUAUUGUGGAGGUAAGCGGAAUAUGUCAUGUAGCGGUGAAAUGCUUAGAUAUGACAUAGAACACCAAUUGCGAAGGCAGCUUGCUACACAGUUAUUGACGCUGAGGCACGAAAGCGUGGGGAGCGAACAGG